rnacentral:rRNA from 1 species
GAUGAACGCUUUCUUCUUUCCUAAUACAUGCAAGUCGAGCGAACGGACGAGAAGCUUGCUUCUCUGAUGUUAGCGGCGGACGGGUGAGUAACACGUGGAUAACCUACCUAUAAGACUGGGAUAACUUCGGGAAACCGGAGCUAAUACCGGAUAAUAUUUUGAACCGCAUGGUUCAAAAGUGAAAGACGGUCUUGCUGUCACUUAUAGAUGGAUCCGCGCUGCAUUAGCUAGUUGGUAAGGUAACGGCUUACCCAGGCAACGAUGCAUAGCCGACCUGAGAGGGUGAUCGGCCACACUGGAACUGAGACACGGUCCAGACUCCUACGGGAGGCAGCAGUAGGGAAUCUUCCGCAAUGGGCGAAAGCCUGACGGAGCAACGCCGCGUGAGUGAUGAAGGUCUUCGGAUCGUAAAACUCUGUUAUUAGGGAAGAACAUAUGUGUAAGUAACUGUGCACAUCUUGACGGUACCUAAUCAGAAAGCCACGGCUAACUACGUG